CAAUAGCGUAUAUUAAAGUUGUUGCGGUUAAAAAGCUCGUAGUUGGAUUUCUGCCGAGGACGACCGGUCCGCCCUCUGGGUGAGCAUCUGGAUCGGCCUGGGCAUCUUCUUGGAGAACGUAUCUGCACUUGACUGUGUGGUGCGGUAUCCAGGACUUUUACUUUGAGGAAAUUAGAGUGUUUCAAGCAGGCAUACGCCUUGAAUACAUUAGCAUGGAAUAAUAAGAUAGGACCUCGGUUCUAUUUUGUUGGUUUCUAGAGCUGAGGUAAUGAUUAAUAGGGAUAGUUGGGGGCAUUCGUAUUUAACUGUCAGAGGUGAAAUUCUUGGAUUUAUGAAAGACGAACUUCUGCGAAAGCAUUUGCCAAGGAUGUUUNCAUUAA
rnacentral:rRNA from 1 species